GUUUAAUCUCAAGAAAAAGGUUAAGAACAAGGUGCAUGUUAAGGCUUCGAUAUGUGAGGCCUAUAUUGUUGAGGAGAUCUUAAUAUUUAUCUCGUACUAUUUCGAACCUCAUCUGAGAACGAGAAUCAAUCGCGUUCCACGGCAUGAUAAUGGCGGUGAAGUGCCUUCCAGUGGGAAUUUAUCAAUAUUCUCCAAUACUGGACGACCCACACCUAAAAAUGUCGUAAGAGAAAGAUAUUUGUCGGAAAUAGAGUUCAAACAAGCACACAACUAUGUUCUAUUUAACUGUGAUGAGCUGAGACCUUUUAUUCAGCAACAUCGUAUAUUUGCUCUCUAAUAACUCACAGCUGAUCGAAUCCCAGAUCUUUCAAUUACAAGAUGAGCAGUUUGCCACGUGGUUCAGAACACAUGUUUAUCAAAUGGGAAGGAGUGCACCUAAGUCAUUGUCUUCACUAAGCCUGGGGCCUGAAAGAAAAUGUAAGUGCUACAACGGGUAUUUUAUCAAUGGAUAUGUUUUCCAUACUGAAGAAUACGGGCAAGGAAGAAAGACAUACAACAACGGUGUUUGUGUUAAGGGAUCCACUAGUAGUGAGUUAGAAGUUGACUACUAUGGUAGAUUGGAAGAGGUCGUCGAACUGCAAUAUCAUAACUAGCAGAAUAUAGUGUUUUUAUUCAAAUGCUAUUGGUAUGACACGACUGACAGAGGAAUCAGAGUUGAUCCGCACUAUGGUCUGGUCGAAAUCAACUCAAAAGCUAGACUCUGCAACAUCAACGAUGUCUCUGUUUUCGCAAAGCAAUGUCAACAAGUUUAUUACACAUACACCCCUUCAUUUAGAAAGGAUCGAUCAAGAGUGGAUUGGUUGUCCAUUUUAAAAACAAAACCCCAGGGUCGUGUCGAGGUUGUUCAGGAUGAGAACGAAGACACAAGUGUGCGAGAUGAAGUCUUUCAAGUUAGUGAGGUGGUUGAACCAUAUCGAGUUGCUCCUUCGAUUGAAUUGGAAGAAAAUUCAAAUUUUCAUGUUUUCGAUGAUAGUCUUGUUGAUGUUGAUGCAGAGGAGUUGAAUUUUGUUUUGAGCUCUAGCGAACAAGCAAAUGUCGAUGAAGAAGAUGAUAUUCAUAUUGAAGAUUGCGAUGAAGGUGAUGACAAUUCAAUU